GAAAUUUUGCAGCUUAACUGUAACAGUGCCGUUGAUACUGUAGGGCUAGGAUUUGGUUGCUGUGGGUGGAAUGUGUGGUGUAGCGGUGAAAUGCUUAGAUAUCACACAGAAUAUCGAUUGCGAAGGCAGCUCACAAAGCCAAGAUUGACGCUGAGGCACGAAAGUGUGGGGAUCAAACAGGAUUAGAUACCCUGGUAGUCCACACUGUAAACGAUGAUAACUCGCUGCCGGCGAUACACAGUCGGUGGCCAAGCGAAAGCGAUAAGUUAUCCACCUGGGGAGUACGACCGCAAGGUUGAAACUCAAAGGAAUUGACGGGGGCCCGCACAAGCGGAGGAACAUGUGGUUUAAUUCGAUGACACGCGAGGAACCUUACCCGGGCUCGAACGGUGCAUGAAUAUACAAGAGAUUGUAUAGUCCUUCGGGACAUGUAUCGAGGUGCUGCAUGGUUGUCGUCAGCUCGUGCCGUGAGGUGUCGGCUUAAGUGCCAUAACGAGCGCAACCCUUGUCAUUAGUUACCAUCAGGUCAAGCUGGGGACUCUAAUGAGACUGCCACCGUAAGGUGUGAGGAAGGGGGGGAUGACGUCAAAUCAGCACGGCCCUUAUGUCCGGGGCGACACACGUGUUACAAUGGGGGGUACAGAGGGCAGCCAUCCGGCGACGGAGCGCUAAUCUCAAAAACCCUUCUCAGUUCGGAUUGGAGUCUGCAACUCGACUCCAUGAAGUUGGAUUCGCUAGUAAUCGCGCAUCAGCCAUGGCGCGAUGAAUACGUUCCCGGGCCUUGUACACACCGCCCGUCAAGCCAUGAAAGCUUGGGGUGCCUGAAGUUCGUGACCGCAAGAGCGACCUAA
rnacentral:rRNA from 1 species